GAUGAACGCUAGCUACAGGCUUAACACAUGCAAGUCGAGGGGAAACGGCAUUAAGUGCUUGCACUUUUUGGACGUCGACCGGCGCACGGGUGAGUAACGCGUAUCCAACCUUCCCAUGACUAAGGGAUAACCUGCCGAAAGGCAGACUAAUACCUUAUGGUCUUCACUGACGGCAUCAGAUGUGAAGUAAAGAUUUAUCGGUUAUGGAUGGGGAUGCGUCUGAUUAGCUUGUUGGCGGGGUAACGGCCCACCAAGGCAACGAUCAGUAGGGGUUCUGAGAGGAAGGUCCCCCACAUUGGAACUGAGACACGGUCCAAACUCCUACGGGAGGCAGCAGUGAGGAAUAGUGGUCAAUGGGCGAGAGCCUGAACCAGCCAAGUAGCGUGCAGGAUGACGGCCCUAUGGGUUGUAAACUGCUUUUGUAUGGGGAUAAAGUCAAUCACGUGUGAUUGUUUGCAGGUACCAUACGAAUAAGGACCGGCUAAUUCCGUG
rnacentral:rRNA from 1 species